CGUGUAGGCGGCCAGACAGGUCCGUUGUAGAAACUAGAGGCUUAACCCUCUAGACGUCGAUGGAAACCGUCUGGCUAGAGUCCGGAAGAGGAGAAUGGAAUUCCUGGUGUAGCGGUGAAAUGCGCAGAUAUCAGGAAGAACACCCGUGGCUAAGGCGGUUCUCUAGUACGGUACUGACGCUGAGACGCGAAAGCGUGGGGAGCGAACA
rnacentral:rRNA from 1 species